AAUAAUCACAUAAAAAAAGUCCUUGAAAGAUAGAAAAAAAGGCAAUGUUUUUCUGGUUUGCUAUAGUCAAAAGCCUCCCAGCAUGUAGCACCAACUUUAAACUGAUAGUGCAGUUAUAUGGAAACUUAGCAUCAAGAGCAACUGGAAAGAAUAGUGUCCAAAUAAGACAGACACAAAUGCAAACAAAGUGGAAUACAGUAGUUUGUCUUCUAACUUACAGCUAGGAAUUAUUUCUCCUAUUUUAAGUAGCCUUUCAGAAACCACUAUGGUGACAGGAUCACCCACAUUUACUCUAUUCUAAAGUCUUCCCACAGUGUCAAUCACUGU